AUUGAACGCUGGCGGCAGGCCUAACACAUGCAAGUCGAGCGGAUGAAGGGAGCUUGCUCCUGGAUUCAGCGGCGGACGGGUGAGUAAUGCCUAGGAAUCUGCCUGGUAGUGGGGGAUAACGUCCGGAAACGGGCGCUAAUACCGCAUACGUCCUGAGGGAGAAAGUGGGGGAUCUUCGGACCUCACGCUAUCAGAUGAGCCUAGGUCGGAUUAGCUAGUUGGUGGGGUAAAGGCCUACCAAGGCGACGAUCCGUAACUGGUCUGAGAGGAUGAUCAGUCACACUGGAACUGGGACACCGUCCCGGCUCCUACGGGAGGCAGCAGUGGGGAAUAUUGGACCAUGGGCGGAAGCCUGAUCCAACCAUGCCGCGUGUGUGAAGAAAGUCUUCGGAUUUUAAAGCACUUUAAGUUGGGAGGAAGGGCAGUAAGUUAAUUCCUUGCUGUUUUGACGUUACCAACAGAAUAAGCACCGGCUAACUUCGUG
rnacentral:rRNA from 1 species